GUCAAGAACGCAUUUGAAAACUUAUACCUCUUUAGUUCUUACCGACUUUACGGAAAAUAAUAGAAUUUGUAUCUAGUGUCAUGUAAUUGAGUUUGAUUAGUGUCAUGUUUUGAAAUUAAGAUCGAGUUUCAGGCAAUGACAGUAAACAAUUAUGUAAUGACGGUUUUCCGGUUUUUGUAAAAGCUACAGUAAACCGAAAAAACAGGUUUGAAAAUAAACCCGAAAAAAACCGAAAAACCGGUAAACCGCC